AAGUUGUUGCAGUUAAAAAGCUCGUAGUUGGAUUUCUGGUGGGAGCGGUCGGUGCGGUCCUCAGGAUUGCUACUCGUACCGUCUCUCGCCAUCCUUGGGUCGAUCCUGUCUGGCAUUAAGUUGUCGGGCAGGGGAUGCCCAUCGUUUACUGUGAAAAAAUUAGAGUGUUCAAAGCAGGCUUAUGCCGUUGAAUAUAUUAGCAUGGAAUAAUAAGAUAGGACUUUGGUACUAUUUUGUUGGUUUGCGCACCAAAGUAAUGAUUAAUAGGGACAGUUGGGGGUAUUCGUAUUCCGUUGUCAGAGGUGAAAUUCUUGGAUUUCCGGAAGACGAACUACUGCGAAAGCAUUUACCAAGGAUGUUUUCAUUAAUCAAGAACGAAAGUUAGGGGAUCGAAGAUGAUUAGAUACCAUCGUAGUCUUAACCAUAAACUAUGCCGACUCGGGAUUGGCGGUCGUUAAUUUUGACCCCGUCAGCACCGUAUGUGAAAACAAAGUCUUUGGGUUCCGGGGGGAGUAUGGUCG
rnacentral:rRNA from 1 species